GAUUCCCCUAGUAACUGCGAGUGAAGCGGGAAAAGCUCAAAUUUAAAAUCUGGCGGUCUUUGGCCGUCCGAGUUGUAGUCUGGAGAAGUGCUUUCCGCGCUGGACCGUGUACAAGUCUCCUGGAACGGAGCGUCAUAGAGGGUGAGAAUCCCGUCUUUGACACGGACUACCAGUGCUCUGUGAUGCGCUCUCAAAGAGUCGAGUUGUUUGGGAAUGCAGCUCAAAAUGGGUGGUGAAUUCCAUCUAAAGCUAAAUAUUGGCGAGAGACCGAUAGCGAACAAGUACCGUGAGGGAAAGAUGAAAAGCACUUUGGAAAGAGAGUUAAACAGUACGUGAAAUUGCUGAAAGGGAAACGCUUGAAGUCAGUCGCGUCGGCCGGAACUCAGCCUUGCUUCCGCUUGGUGUACUUUCCGGUCGACGGGCCAGCAUCGAUUUCGACCGUCGGAAAAAUGCGGGGGGAAUGUGGCACCUUCGGGUGUGUUAUAGCCCCUCGUUGCAUACGACGGUUGGGAUCGAGGAUCGCAGCACGCCUUUAUGGUCGGGGUUCGCCCACGUACGUGCUUAGGAUGCUGGCGUAAU
rnacentral:rRNA from 1 species